UACGUAGGGUGCAAGCGUUAAUCGGAAUUACUGGGCGUAAAGCGUGCGAAGGCGGUGAUGUAAGACAGAUGUGAAAUCCCCGGGCUCAACCUGGGAACUGCAUUUGUGACUGCAUCGCUGGAGUACGGCAGAGGGGGAUGGAAUUCCGCGUGUAGCAGUGAAAUGCGUAGAGAUGUGGAGGAACACCGAUGGCGAAGGCAGCCUCCUGGGCCGACACUGACGCUGAGGGCACGAAAGCGUGGGGAGCAAACAGG
rnacentral:rRNA from 1 species